AUCGAACGCUGGCGGCAGGCCUAACACAUGCAAGUCGAGCGAGCGGCGGACGGGCGAGUAAUGUAUGGGGCUCUGCCUGAUGGAGGGGGAUAACUACUGGAAACGGUAGAUAAUACUGCAUACCAUCAGUUGAACCCAUAUGGGAUUAGCUAGUCGGGGAGGUAACGGCGCAGCUCGGCGACGCGCCCUAGCUGGUCUGAGAGGAUGAUCAGCCACACUGGGACUGAGACACGGCCCAGACGCCUACGUGAGGCAGCAGUGGGGAAUAUUGCACAAUGGGCGCAAGCCUGAUGCAGCCAUGCCGCGUGUAUGAAGAAGGCCUUCGGGUUGUAAAGUACUUUCAGUCGGGAGGCGUUACCGACAGAAGAAGCACCGGCUAACUCCGUGCCAGCAGCCGCGGUAAUUC
rnacentral:rRNA from 1 species